GUUGACAUUCAGUUAAAAAAAAUAGAGGGAGAGUAAUGUAGUAUUUGUAGGAUGCGAUAAGUUAAUAAUUAACUUCGAAGCAUGUAACAACGUUGAUUGACAUUUGUAAUAAAUCAUCAUUCAAUCUAUUCUAUACCUGUGUAGGCGGGAGUUUGAUUCAAAAUAGUAAAAAAUUAAUCAGGAAUCAUUAUGUUAACACAAAUCAGGUUAUUUCUGGGUUACCCGUGCAGCACGUUUAAACAGGAGAUUCAGGAGUGUACCUUGCCUUGUCUUACCUUACUUUGCGCUACGUAUUUUUAAAUACAUUUCCUUACCUUAUUUGCCUUUGACUGUCUUAAGAACCCGCCCGUUUCCACUUGCAAUUUUUGCUGCGAUUUUCUUCUCCCGAUGUAGUGAACGAGUGG